UACAGGGGGGGCAAGCGUUGUUCGGAAUUACUGGGCGUAAAGGGCUCGUAGGCGGCCACUAAGUCACACGUGAAAUCCCCAGGCUUAACCUGGGAACUGCGUGUGAUACUGGAUGGCUUGAAUCCGGGAGAGGGAUGCGGAAUUCCAGGUGUAGCGGUGAAAUGCGUAGAUAUCUGGAGGAACACCGGUGGCGAAGGCGGCAUCCUGGACCGGUAUUGACGCUGAUGAGCGAAAGCCAGGGGAGCAAACGGG
rnacentral:rRNA from 1 species